CUGUUUCUGACUUUAUUAAUCUCAGGAGGUCUCUCUUCUUUUUGCUCUGCUGCUUCAAGCCUUUGGCAUCCAGUGCCUUGUACUUAAUGAAAGUUUGCAACACUCUGAGCAACUGUUCUCAGUUCUUCUGCCUUAUUUCUGGCCUCCGUUGCAACUGUUUUGACCUAGUGAAGGCCUAGACUUUCUCAGACAGAUUUCUUUUAACUCUUCUGCCCUGACUCCAGUCUUCACUGGGAUGCUGCCUUGCACUUAGGGAAGGUUCACAUGCCUCAAGGAUCUCUCUCUCUCAGAUUUCUUGACUUUCCCUCAGUCUUCAGUAUAGUCCUCCUCUGUGCCUGGUGAAGACCUGUGGUAAAGUGCUGGCAGAGAGGAAGCUAAAUCACGUAAAAAUUAAGAAACAGCUCAGCGUUUCACAGCUAAGCUGCCGGCUUCCCCUUGAAGGAAUAGGAGUAGACCUGCUGAACUAUCACAUGAGAGAAGAGGCCCAAAAGCUUGCACACUACAGUCAAGCUGGCCCUUAAAGAGAUGGACCUAGAAGAUGCUGAGCCAGAUGUACUCAAUUACUUCUCCAAAAUUCAUCAAUUAGAACUGCUUCUUGCUGCCGCCAUAUGAAGAAGGACGUGUUCGCUUCCCCUUCCUCCAUGAUUGUAAGUUUCCUGAGACCUCGCCAGCCAUGCUGAACUGAAUACAACAUGUUUAAGACCACAGAACAUCUGCAUAGGCUGUAAAUUUCGUUGAAUGAUGGAUGCAAAGAUGGAAGACAGAUGGAUAGAGGAAAAGACAGAAUCAGAUACUGGAUGAGUUAGUACUGCUGCCUGUGCUUCAGAGCUGUCUUAUUACCACAAGGCCGGCAAGCAUCAAUGUCCCCACAUCCCCCUCUGCCUCCCCCUGAAAUGUACCGAUUUAUAUGAAAAUUAAGAUUACAAAUUAAAGCCUGGCUAUCCUGGAGUUUUCCAGUUCAUCAGCCAUCCAAUAAAAAUGAUGUCAAGCCUGUAUGCAUAAUUCCCGGAAGAUUACUUUCGUCCUUACAGCUAAGCCCUGUCCCUGAUAUGAAAGAUCUCUAUCCACUUUUAUUGAAAUAAAGAACUAACAUCAUAAUCCCAAUAUUGAGGUAUAAUCUUCAUUAUCUCCUGACCCUCUUGAGGUUCCCCCAAUCUAUAUUACUUCAGAUUUGGUUUAUGUGUAAUCCUUAUGUAUUUACUUUUAUUGAGAUAGGAUUAAAAACUAAAAAAAAAGCUUCAAAAAAUCCUUAUGAUCUCAUGAUUGAGUUUCAUUUCACCAACAAUCAACUAAUGUGUUAGACUGAGUUUUUUUUUAAGUGCUUCUUAUAGUUAUAUAGUCCAAGCUUGAAAAGGCAUUAAUUGGUCCCAUGUGUUUCCUGUUUCAUUACAUGAAUUAUUUCCAAUUCAACUUGGUUUGUGAAAUAAUGGCAUCAUCUUCUUUUCCUAUUAGAAAAGGUGUGGGAGGGGGAUGUAUGAAAAGAUAAGCAUACACAUAAAAUAAUCCAAAGUAACUUAAAUCUCUUUUCUUAGGAAGUUUUGAUUCAUACCUAUAGUUAAUUACUGGUAAACCACAAUCUACCAACCUUUUCUUUCCCCCAGAGCCUUAAUAGCCUCUGGCUAUGCCUCGGGCUGUUAACUACCAAACUAGUCAUUAAUGCUGGUCAAGAUGAUUUCUUGGAGAUUAUUGCUCAUUUAUUUUUUUAACAGACAAAACAGAAUUUGCUUUGCACAUGGACUAAAAUAAUACUUCAGCCAUUUUUUUCCUUUCAAAAACAUAAACACUGAUGAAAAUCACAUUGUACUGUGGUAUUUUCAAAGCAUUUCAUAUGUUAUUUUAGCUGUAUUUUCCAACUGAAAACUGGAUUUGCAAUGCUCAGGAUUUCCCUGGUAAUCAUCAUGUUUGCUUAUUGUUUGCUAUUAUAUUUGGUAAAACACAUCUUGAUUAAGAGAUUUGAUGUGUUCUCUAUUUACCUGUGCCUCUUAUUUUUACCUUUUGUCCAAGGAUAUGUUAGGAAGAUAUUUGUUUUUUUAGAAUUGAAAACAGGGUAUGGAAAUAGAAAUACUUCACUAUUGGCAUAAAACAGCACUGGAGUGUUUUCUUCUUAACGUAGUAUUUAUUGUUUGAAAAGAAUUCUUAUUCUAUUGGUGUUUUUUUUUUUUCUUUUUUUUUUUUUUUUUUUGAGAUGGAGUCUCGCUCUGUCGCCCAGGCUGGAAUGCAGUGGCACAAUCUCGGCUCACUGCAACCUCCAUCUCCCGGGUUCACGCCAUUCUUCUGCCUCAGCCCCUCCAGUAGCUGGGACUACAGGCGCCCGCCACCACGCCCGGCUAAUCUUUUGUAUUUUUAGUAAAGACGAGGUUUCACCGUGUUAGCCAGGGUGGUCUUGAUCUCCUGACCUCGUGAUCCGCCCACCUCAGCCUCCCAAAGUGCUGGGAUUACAGGCGUGAGCCACCGCACCCUGCCUAUUCUAUCGUUAUUGAUAUAAAAUGGGAUUCAUUAUAAUUUUUAUUGGCUCAAUUAUUCCUCAUCUGUGAACCACUCAUUUUCAUUCAUUCGUGCUUUUACUUGAGCACCUGCUAUUGCCUGGGCACAUUCAGAGACAAAUUAGAGAAUGGAGAAAAAACUGGAAAGACAAAAACAAUCUAUGAUCACUCAGUCAUCUUUCUGCCAAAAAAUAAUAUUCAAACAUAAAAACACGUAUUGGAAUGAUUAGGCUUAUUAAAAUGUUUACUCAACAACUAAAAAGGAAGUGGAUGAAACAAUAUUUUGGUACCCUUAAUAUUUUCUGGUUAUCAGUUUAUUUCUGUGAAUUUCCUUAUUUUACUCUCGCAACAACUCUACAGUUCCUUAAAGCAACCUUAUACUUACACCUAUUUUGUGGAUGUGGAAAUUAAGACUUUAGAAUUGCUGAAGAUAUAGAAGAAACAAGAAGGUACUGGAAGAAAAAUGCAGAAAAGAAAGCUUCAGGGGUUCAAAUACAACAAUGCUCGUUUACUUAGCACCUUAAUUCCCGCACUUGCUUAUAGACAGAAAAUGCCUCCUUCCUUUCUUUUGAAAGCUGUGGCUCAAGAUGGCAGGACACCCCACAGAGUCCCAGUUUAGAUCUUGAAACAGGUAGAGUAAGAAUGGUUUUGGUUAGGUAGGUUUAACCUACCAACUGGAGGUUUAUUUGAAUUACAUCUAAAUAUUAUUUAUAGGAGCAAGUCUGCCAGUUAUUAAUAAUUUAUGAAAGUUGCUUAUUACCAGCUAUAAUGUAGGUUUUAUUGACCGAUAGAUUUAACUAUGGGAAGAAGUAGCAGAAAGAGAAAAGGAAGUGAAAAGGUGAUAUGGGAGUGUGGCUUAUUUUGAAAGAAUUCUAGUUUUGGCCAGGGUGUAUAAUGUAAGCUAGAAAAUAAUAAUACUGAGCACCAGGGAUGAGUGAAGAAUUCAUUUAUGUCUUUGGCUUAGUCCAGCGCUAUUUGACUUAAGACAGUGUGUAUGGUGUCCUGGAAAGGUUUAUAAUUUAUAAAGCUUUGAAUUCUCAGGGAUAAGCCAUGAAUUACAGGGUGAUUUCAAAAGCUUUACAUUCUAAGAUAAGCCACUAUUAUGCUUUUUCCUCAUUAAAGACAGGAGCUUCUGUUUUUUAGCAAAACUGACCCAAAUGUCUUUUAAUAAGAAUUGUACUGGCAUGCAAAAAUUUAAACUAUAAAUACAGUCUGUUUUCAUUAUUCAGGGUACCCAAUUAUUAUAACAACUACUUUACAUUAUGAAAAUAAAAUUCAAGUCAGUAAUAAAAAAUACUUUUUUUCUUGAAC
rnacentral:lncRNA from 10 species